UUUCCAUGAUGAAUCAAACUAGCUCACUAUGACUUACACAAUGAAAAUAAGUGAACACCUGAGAAAC
ensembl:snoRNA SNORD29 Small nucleolar RNA SNORD29